rnacentral:rRNA from 1 species
UUGAACGCUGGCGGCAGGCCUAACACAUGCAAGUCGAGCGGAUGAAGGGAGCUUGCUCCUGGAUUCAGCGGCGGACGGGUGAGUAAUGCCUAGGAAUCUGCCUGGUAGUGGGGGAUAACGUCCGGAAACGGGCGCUAAUACCGCAUACGUCCUGAGGUAGAAAGGGGGGGAUCUUCGGACCUCACGCUAUCAGAUGAGCCUACGUCGGAUUAGCUAGUUGGUGGGGUAAAGGCCUACCAAGGCGACGAUCCGUAACUGGUCUGAGAGGAUGAUCAGUCACCCUGGAACUGAGAAACGGUCCAGACUCCUACGGGAGGCAGCAGUGGGGAAUAUUGGCCAAUGCGCGAAAGCCUGCUCCAGCCCUGCCGCGUGUGUGAAGAAGGUCUUCGGAUUGUAAAGCACUUUCAGUUGGGAGGAAGGGCAGUAAGUUAAUACCUUGCUGUUUUGACGUUACCAACAGAAUAAGCACCGGCUAACUUCGUG